rnacentral:rRNA from 1 species
AAUAGAUACCCCGGUAGUCCAUGCCGUAAACGAUGAGUGCUAAGUGUUAGAGGGUUUCCGCCCUUUAGUGCUGCAGCUAACGCAUUAAGCACUCCGCCUGGGGAGUACGGCCGCAAGGCUGAAACUCAAAGGAAUUGACGGGGGCCCGCACAAGCGGUGGAGCAUGUGGUUUAAUUCGAAGCAACGCGAAGAACCUUACCAGGUCUUGACAUCCUCUGCCAACCCUAGAGAUAGGGUGUUCCCCUUCGGGGGACAGAGUGACAGGUGGUGCAUGGUUGUCGUCAGCUCGUGUCGUGAGAUGUUGGGUUAAGUCCCGCAACGAGCGCAACCCUUGAUCUUAGUUGCCAGCAUUUAGUUGGGCACUCUAAGGUGACUGCCGGUGACAAACCGGAGGAAGGUGGGGAUGACGUCAAAUCAUCAUGCCCCUUAUGACCUGGGCUACACACGUGCUACAAUGGAUGGUACAAAGAGCUGCGAACCCGCGAGGGUAAGCCAAUCUCAUAAAGCCAUUCUCAGUUCGGA